rnacentral:lncRNA from 1 species
CAAUCUAUAUACAAGAGUGCACACACUGAAAUGUCUCGCCUUCUUUACUAAUCAUUGAUAUUAUGUUGAUAGUCCUAAGUAUAAAGCGUUAUUACAACUGUCACAUAAACUUAACAUUAAACAAGAUAGUUAAACAAAGACCAAUGAACCAUGAAAAUGAGGUCAAGGUCAGAUGAACCAUGCCAGGCAGACAUGUACAGCUAACAAUGCUUCCAUACAACAAAUAUAGUUGACCUAUUACUUAUAGUUUAAGAAAAAUAGACCAAAACACAAAAACUUAAAACUGUCCAAUGAACCGUGCAAUUGAGGUCAUGGUCAAAUAAAACCUGCGGGACUGACAUAUAGAUCAUAAUAUAUUUCCAUACACCAAAUAUAGUUGACCUUUGGCAUAUAAUAUUAGAUAAAAAGAUCAAAACUUAAAAACUUAACUUUGACCACUGAACCAUGAAAAUGAGGUCAAGGUCAGAUGACAUCUGCCCGCUAGACAUGUACACCUUGCAAUCAUUCCAUACAACAAAUAUAGUAGACCUAUUGCAUAAAGUAUGAGAAAAACAGACCAAAACACAAAAACUUAACUAUAACCACUGAACCAUGAAAAUGAGGUCAAGGUCAGAUGACACCUGCCAGUUGGACAUGUACACCUUCCAGUCCUUCCAUACACCAAAUAUACUAGCCCUAUUGCUUAUAGUAUCU